GAGAUUUUUCAAUGAGCAGAACAACAACUGGAGAAUUCUCAUCAACAAGAUUUACUUCAUCAAUAAAAUCCCUAGCUGGCAGACUCCACAAACUCUCAAACAGCCAUCAACAGUAUGGAAAGAUGUAUUAAAAGUACAUGAACUAUUCGGUUGCAACACUAUCUUGGAACUGGGUGAUGAAGAAAACAUAUCCUUUUGGCA
rnacentral:lncRNA from 1 species